AACGAACGCUGGCGGCAUGCCUAACACAUGCAAGUCGAACGAGACCUUCGGGUCUAGUGGCGCACGGGUGCGUAACGCGUGGGAACCUGCCCUUAGGUUCGGAAUAACUCCCCGAAAGGGGUGCUAAUACCGGAUAAUGUCUUCGGACCAAAGAUUUAUCGCCUUUGGAUGGGCCCGCGUUGGAUUAGCUAGUUGGUAGGGUAAAAGCCUACCAAGGCGACGAUCCAUAGCUGGUCUGAGAGGAUGAUCAGCCACACUGGGACUGAGACACGGCCCAGACUGCUACGGAAGGCAGCAGUGGGGAAUAUUGGACGAUGGGCGAAAGCCUGAUCCAGCAAUGCCGCGUGAGUGAUGAAGGCCUGAGGGUUGGAAAGCUCUUUUACCCGGGAUGAUAAUGACAGUACCGGGAGAAUAAGCUCCGGCUAACUCCG
rnacentral:rRNA from 1 species